AACGAACGCUGGCGGCAUGCCUAACACAUGCAAGUCGAACGAAGGCUUCGGCCUUAGUGGCGCACGGGUGCGUAACGCGUGGGAAUCUGCCCUUGGGUUCGGAAUAACAGUGAGAAAAUACUGCUAAUACCGGAUGAUGUCGAAAGACCAAAGAUUUAUCGCCCAGGGAUGAGCCCGCGUAGGAUUAGCUAGUUGGUGAGGUAAAGGCUCACCAAGGCGACGAUCCUUAGCUGGUCUGAGAGGAUGAUCAGCCACACUGGGACUGAGACACGGCCCAGACUCCUACGGGAGGCAGCAGUGGGGAAUAUUGGACAAUGGGCGAAAGCCUGAUCCAGCAAUGCCGCGUGGGUGAUGAAGGCCUUAGGGUUGUAAAGCUCUUUUACCCGGGAUGAUAAUGACAGUACCGGGAGAAUAAGCCCCGGCUAACUCCGUGCCAGCCGCCGCCGUAACAC
rnacentral:rRNA from 1 species